rnacentral:rRNA from 1 species
UACGUAGGGUGCGAGCGUUAAUCGGAAUUACUGGGCGUAAAGCGUGCGCAGGCGGUGAUGUAAGACAGAUGUGAAAUCCCCGGGCUCAACCUGGGAACUGCAUUUGUGACUGCAUCGCUGGAGUGCGGCAGAGGGGGAUGGAAUUCCGCGUGUAGCAGUGAAAUGCGUAGAUGUGCGGAGGAACACCGAUGGCGAAGGCAAUCCCCUGGGCCUGCACUGACGCUCAUGCACGAAAGCGUGGGGAGCAAACAGG